rnacentral:misc_RNA from 1 species
AAGACUAUAGACCUGCGGAGUACCUGCGGAGGGAUCAUUACAAGUGACCCCGGUCUAACCACCGGGAUGUUCAUAACCCUUUGUUGUCCGACUCUGUUGCCUCCGGGGCGACCCUGCCUUCGGGCGGGGGCUCCGGGUGGACACUUCAAACUCUUGCGUAACUUUGCAGUCUGAGUAAACUUAAUUAAUAAAUUAAAACUUUCAACAAUGGAUCUCU